GUGCUCGCUGUGGCAGCACAUCUACUAAAAUUGGAACGACACGGAGAAGAUUAGCAUGGCCACUAACAAGGAGGAUGCACAAAUUUUGGAAGCAUUCUAUACUUUU